rnacentral:lncRNA from 1 species
CCUUCCCAAUGGCAGCUGAGCCCAAGGCUAAGGGGGGAAAAACAAAAAAAAAUCGUUCCAGUAGUCAGCCCAAGCCCGGUGGGGGAGUGGGUCCCACCAACUCGGGUCAGCCCGAGGGCCAGUUCAGCCCGAGGUGAAGCCCGCGGGCGGUGACGUCAGCGCGACGCCAGCUCCAACAGGAAGAUGCCACGUGUUGCGCCCCCAGCGCUCCGAUCAGCAUCUCCGAAUCCAAUCCAAC